GCCAGGCGUGGUGUUCCUCGUCUGGGCACAGUUCACAAGCCGGGCUGGACAGAGGAGGGACGGCCCUGGCACAUGCAGCCGGCAAAGGAGAGGAGCACAGCAGGAGAGGAGAGGAACAAGAAAAGGAGAGAGGGAAAGAGAGAGAAACUGAGGAGGCCAGGGAGAAUGAGAGAGGUGUAGAAAAUACCAGGACUUGUUAAGAAGGUGUGUUUUGGUGGCUUUUGAAGCUGGCAACAAAACUCUGAGGGGAAGGAGGAUUGGCUUUGGAAUAAUGCUGUGAGAUUUAUUCGUCUCGUUGUGGGAAAGUUAGUGGCAAUCUAUAUUUUAUGGCAGUGGAUUCUCAUUUUAUUUGAUAGUUCAAUACAUUAACCUACAAUAUGUCACAGUCAUGGAGGAAUAAUGAUAACGGGUAAGAGCUGCUUGACAGAGUUAAUUUAGACUGGACAUUUUGACCAUUUCAUUUGUCAGAUUGAAUUUGAAAAGAUAGAUACUAUGUCCUAUGAUUAGUUUGCAAUGGUAGUAUAAAUAUUGUCAUGUCAGUGGCACUUUAGGGACCAGACCAGUAAGUUGUAAGGAGAAGUUUCCUUUGCUUGCCAGAUAGGUGAUACAGUUUGGUUUGUGUUGAGCUGUAAGGUGAAGUAUAAUUACCAUUUUAUUAUCACGACAGCCAGGAAUCUUUGGCCACUACAGGAUGUGACUACUAUACGGCAGACAUAUGGCAAAAUAGCACAGGUUCUCUCCAGGACUUUAAGAUGUGUGUACAAGACAGGAUGUGUGUGUGUGUGUGUGUGUGUGUGUGUGUUCUCACGUUAGGUGUCACUACCUGUCCUUGAUCUACUGUAACCCUCCAGGGCCCCUGUUGCACACCUCUGGAACCGAAAGAAAAGAGGAAGAGGGCAGGCUGUGGUCACAGUUGCAGUCGCUGGCAGCUCGGACACAGUCCUCAGGGACCUUUGGUGCGGUGCGUGACUGAUACAGUCUAGGGCAGAGUAGGCAAGGUCAGAUCAUACAAGGGCUUCCUGGAGAUCUGAGGCAGAAUGGGCCUACAAUUAGACUUAGUCUGAAUUUCCUCAACAUCAUCGACUUGGAGAAGCAGGGAAACUCACAUGGGACCAGCAUGACGGUGGAUGGAAGUGAUUCAGGAAUGCUAAGGUAAGAUCAACAGAAUGAAGGACACAAGAGGACACAUUGUGGACCGUCAACUGAAAAUCUCACCGGCCAUCACAUCAUUGCAUCACCCUUCUUCACCAUUUGUCUUCCUCUCAGUCCCUGCUCUCUCUCUCUCUCUCUCUCUCUCUGUCUGUCUGUCUGUCUUUUGUCCUCCUCCUCUCUCUUGCCCCUGGACACACCACGCUUUGCUGUGGCUGGUCAAACGGAACCAAGUCAGGUGUUUCUGUGAGGUUUGGUCCCCUUCAACCAGCUACUGCUCUGUGAAAACCACGCCGGCUACCCUUGGGGACAGCAAAGACAGGAUUACAAUUGUCCAGUUGUUUAUAUUCUACAUUAAAAAUACCUUUUCUCUCCAAUCGUAGGUCACUAGUCUUUUAUGUUUCUGUUUAUAAUUCUGCUCUGGAUUCUGUUUUUGUAUUAAUUUUGCAAACAAUAAAAAAAAAUAAUUGA